rnacentral:rRNA from 1 species
UUGCACGCUGGCGGCAGGCCUAACACAUGCACGUCGCGCGGAUGAAGGGAGCUUGCUCCUGGAUUCAGCGGCGGACGGGUGAGUAAUGCCUAGGAAUCUGCCUGGUAGUGGGGGAUAACGUCCGGAAACGGGCGCUAAUACCGCAUACGUCCUGAGGGAGAAAGUGGGGGAUCUUCGGACCUCACGCUAUCAGAUGAGCCUAGGUCGGAUUAGCUAGUUGGUGGGGUAAAGGCCUACCAAGGCGACGAUCCGUAACUGGUCUGAGAGGAUGAUCAGUCACACUGGAACUGAGACACGGUCCAGACUCCUACGGGAGGCAGCAGUGGGGAAUAUUGGACAAUGGGCGAAAGCCUGAUCCAGCCAUGCCGCGUGUGUGAAGAAGGUCUUCGGAUUGUAAAGCACUUUAAGUUGGGAGGAAGGGCAGUAAGUUAAUACCUUGCUGUUUUGACGUUACCAACAGAAUAAGCACCGGCUAACUUCGUG